rnacentral:lncRNA from 1 species
CCAGAGCUCCGAGAAAAGCCACAAAGAACAUCUGUGGGACCCCAGAUAUCUCUUCUGCCAGCUCAAGACCUGCUUGAGUUUAAAUAAGCACGGGGACCAAUCAUGUAUCACCCUGCCAUUCUUUACCCGCUCCUUCUCAAAAACCCUAUAUAUACUCUUGUGGUUUGGGGCCAAUCCCUCUGCCUCCUGCGUGAGGGUGAGGUACAUAUUGGUCCAGAGCUCUGCCCCAAUACAGCUUGUUGCCUUUGCAUCGGACCCAGUCUCUUGUUCUUGGGCGCCACUCCCUCCUGCUGUGCCUUCCAGCUCUGGGCAGCCUCGCUCUCCCAAACUGGGCAUGCCAGGGCUCCAAUAGCACAAGCCACCGCACUCUCCCGAACUGAGCGGGGUGGAGGAAUUCAGACUUAACAACCCCCUUAAGACUGACGCUAGAGGGGUUGAGGAUUUAGCUCAGCGGUAGAGCACUUGCCUAGAAAGCGCAAGGCCCUAGGUUCGGUCCUCAGCUCC